UAAAAACUUAAUAAUGGAAUUCUAUUUUAAAUAAAAAUAUAGUUUUUGCUCUACUAAGUUAUA
rnacentral:tRNA from 1 species